UCUCCUGUGACGCAGUGGUUAGCGUGUCGUUCUUAUACGUUGGAUUCCUCGGAACCAAGUAUGCCUUCUAAGGAAUGCGAAAGUCGCCGGUUCAAUCCCGGCCAGGAGAA